CGAACGCUGGCGGCGUGCUUAACACAUGCAAGUCGAACGGAAAGGCCCUGCUUUUGUGGGGUGCUCGAGUGGCGAACGGGUGAGUAACACGUGAGUAACCUGCCCUUGACUUUGGGAUAACUUCAGGAAACUGGGGCUAAUACCGGAUAGGAGCUCCUGCUGCAUGGUGGGGGUUGGAAAGUUUCGGCGGUUGGGGUUGGACUCGCGGCUUAUCAGCUUGUUGGUGGUGUAGUGGCUUACCAAGGCUUUGACGGGUAGCCGGCCUGAGAGGGUGACCGGCCACAUUGGGACUGAGAUACGGCCCAGACUCCUACGGGAGGCAGCAGUGGGGAAUAUUGCACAAUGGGCGGAAGCCGGAUGCAGCAUCGCCGCGUGCGGGAUGACGGCCUUCGGGUUGUAAACCGCUUUCGCCUGUGACGAAGCGUGAGUGACGGUAAUGGGUAAAGAAGCACCGGCUAACUACGUG
rnacentral:rRNA from 1 species